CACGGGGGCAACCCUGGUGGCGAGUGGCGAACGGGUGAGUAAUACAUCGGAACGUGUCCUAUCGUGGGGGAUAACCAGUCGAAAGACUGGCUAAUACCGCAUGAGAUCGAGAGAUGAAAGCAGGGGACCGCAAGGCCUUGCGCGAUUGGAGCGGCCGAUGUCGGAUUAGCUAGUUGGCGGGGUAAAGGCCCACCAAGGCUACGAUCCGUAGCUGGUUUGAGAGAACGACCAGCCACACUGGGACUGAGGCACGGCCCAGACUCCUACGGGAGGCAGCAGUGGGGAAUUUUGGACAAUGGGGGCAACCCUGAUCCAGCCAUGCCGCGUGUGUGAAGAAGGCCUUCGGGUUGUAAAGCACUUUCGGACGGAACGAAAUCGCGCGGGUGAAUAUCCCGCGUGGAUGACGGUACUGUAAGAAGAAGCACCGGCUAACUACGUGCCAGCAGCCGCGGUAAUACGUAGGGUGCGAGCGUUAAUCGGAAUUACUGGGCGUAAAGCGUGCGCAGGCGGCUUCGCAAGUCAGACGUGAAAGCCCCGGGCUUAACCUGGGAAUGGCGUUUGAAACUAC
rnacentral:rRNA from 1 species